UAUCUCUGUAGAGUCUGCAUAUCAAUAAGCGGAGGAAAAGAAACUAACUAGGAUUCCCUUAGUAACGGCGAGUGAAGCGGGAAGAGCUCAAAUUUGAAAUCUUCAAGGUUUUACCUUGACGAAUUGUAGUUUAAAGAAGUGUUUUCUGUUGGUGUUUUGGUAAAAGUUCUUUGGAAUAGGACAUCAUAGAGGGUGAGAAUCCCGUAUUUGACCAUUACUUCCAGCUUUGUGAUACACUUUCAAAGAGUCGGAUUGUUUGGGAAUGCAGUCCAAAAUGGGUGGUAAAUUUCAUCUAAAGCUAAAUAUUGGCGAGAGACCGAUAGCGAACAAGUACCGUGAGGGAAAGAUGAAAAGAACUUUGAAAAGAGAGUUAAACAGUACGUGAAAUUGUCAAAAGGGAAGCGUUUGACACCAGUGUUGUUUUCUCGAAAAUCAAUUAAAAAAAGUUGGAUUUUGUAUUGUUAAGACCUUAUCAGCUUACUGUACUCUUUUCUUGCCUUUUUUUAAUGCACUUUUCGUUUAACAAGUCAACAUCAAUUUCUUUUGUUGUAAAAGAGUCAUUGGAAGGUGGCUUUCACUUCGGUGAAAGUGUUUAUAGCCUUUGGCUUCUGCAAUCGGAGAGAUUGAGGUCUGCAGCGUAGAUCCUUCGGGGCUAGAUACGUAGAUGCUAAGUUAUAGUUUUUUAUAGACAACUUGUUGACUAUAAUUAAUCAUGUAGCUUACUCGUUUGCGCUAUUUUACCUACGCUUAGGAUGUUGACGAUCAGCUGAGCGCG
rnacentral:rRNA from 1 species